GCGAAGGUGGCGGAAUUGGUAGACGCGCUAGCUUCAGGUGUUAGUGUCCUUACGGACGUGGGGGGGGGAGUCCCCCCCCCCCCCCCC
rnacentral:tRNA from 1 species